GCAGCCAUGCCGCGUGUGUGAAGAAGGCCUUCGGGUUGUAAAGCACUUUCAGUUGUGAGGAAAGGUUAACGGUUAAUACCCGUUAGCUGUGACGUUAGCAACAGAAGAAGGACCGGCUAACUCCGUGCCAGCAGCCGCGGUAAUACGGAGGGUCCGAGCGUUAAUCGGAAUUACUGGGCGUAAAGCGCACGCAGGCGGUUUGUUAAGCUAGAUGUGAAAGCCCUGGGCUCAACCUGGGAAUUGCAUUUAGAACUGGCAGGCUAGAGUUUUGGAGAGGGGAGUGGAAUUCCAGGUGUAGCGGUGAAAUGCGUAGAUAUCUGGAGGAACAUCAGUGGCGAAGGCGACUCCCUGGUCAGUAACUGACGCUCAUGUGCGAAAGUGUGGGUAGCGAACAGGAUUAGAUACCCUGGUAG
rnacentral:rRNA from 1 species